UGAUGUCUCGAGUUGGGUGGAUCUGUUG
rnacentral:piRNA from 1 species